rnacentral:misc_RNA from 1 species
AGCAGGAGCGCUCUAUUUCUUACUCUCCGGCUUAUUCGAGCCACCGACAACUCCACCGGGAUCAUCAGCGGCCACUGUCUUCCUCCUGUUUCGUGAUCUUUAACGAGUUUUCUUCUAAGGAAACUAGUGGCUUCUAGUUUAUUGGGAGGAUCACUCUUCUGGUCAGCUGUGCUCUGAAGCAGUACGCGGUUGUUAUAUAAAUGUCAAAUGAUGUGGAAAAUCCUAAAGAUGGAGAUGCUAG